UGGGGAAUUUUGGACAAUGGGCGAAAGCCUGAUCCAGCAAUGCCGCGUGUGUGAAGAAGGCCUUCGGGUUGUAAAGCACUUUUGUCCGGAAAGAAAUCCUUGGCUCUAAUACAGUCGGGGGAUGACGGUACCGGAAGAAUAAGCACCGGCUAACUACGUGCCAGCAGCCGCGGUAAUACGUAGGGUGCAAGCGUUAAUCGGAAUUACUGGGCGUAAAGCGUGCGCAGGCGGUUUGCUAAGACCGGUGUGAAAUCCCCGGGCUCAACCUGGGAACUGCAUUGGUGACUGGCAGGCUAGAGUAUGGCAGAGGGGGGUAGAAUUCCACGUGUAGCAGUGAAAUGCGUAGAGAUGUGGAGGAAUACCGAUGGCGAAGGCAGCCCCCUGGGCCAAAUACUGACGCUCAUGCACGAAAGCGUGGGGAGCAAACAGGAUUAGAUACCCUGGUAGUCCACGCCCUAAAACGAUGUCAACUAGUUGUUGGGGAUUCAUUUCCUUAGUAACGUAGCUAACGCGUGAAGUUGACCGCCUGGGGAGUACGGUCGCAAGAUUAAAACUCAAAUGAAUUGACGGGGUCAUAGCUGUUCCU
rnacentral:rRNA from 1 species